ACGGAGAGUUUGAUCCUGGCUCAGGAUGAACGCUAGCGGCAGGCUUAACACAUGCAAGUCGAGCGGAAACGAAGAUAGCUUGCUAUCAGGCGUCGAGCGGCGGACGGGUGAGUAACGCGUAGGAACCUACCUAAUAGUUUGGGAUAGCCAUUGGAAACGAUGAUUAAUACCGGAUACGCCCUACGGGGGAAAGCAGAGGACCUUCGGGCUUUGCGCUAUUAGAUGGGCCUGCGUGAGAUUAGCUAGUUGGUGGGGUAAUGGCCCACCAAGGCGACGAUCUUUAGCUGGUCUGAGAGGAUGAUCAGCCACACUGGGACUGAGACACGGCCCAGACUCCUACGGGAGGCAGCAGUGGGGAAUAUUGGACAAUGGGGGCAACCCUGAUCCAGCGAUGCCGCGUGAGUGAUGAAGGCCUUAGGGUUGUAAAACUCUUUCAGGGGUGAAGAUAAUGACGGUAACCCCAGAAGAAGCUCCGGCUAACUCCGUGCCAG
rnacentral:rRNA from 1 species